rnacentral:rRNA from 1 species
AUGGAUUCCAUCUUGGCGAAUGAAACCUGGGAGAUAACUGAUCGUCCUUAUGGGUGCAAACCUAUAGGAUGCAAAUGGGUAUUCAAGAAAAAGCUUAGGCCUGAUGGUACUAUUGAGAAGUACAAGGCUCGGGUCGUGGCUAAGGGUUAUACCCAAAAGGAAGGUGAAGACUUCUUAGAUACUUACUCACCUGUUGCUGGACUGACCACUAUUCGAGUUCUACUUUCACUAGCUGCCUCGCAUGGUCUUCUCGUUCAUCAAAUGGAUGUUAAGAUUGCUUUCCUAAAUGGAGAGUUGGACGAGGAAAUUUAUAUGGAACAAUCAGAUGGGUUUGUACUAGAUGGCUUUGUUGUGAAUGAAGCUGACAAAUGUGUGUACUAUCGCCAUGGUGGGGGCGAGGGAGUUAUCCUAUGCUUAUAUGUUGAUGACGUACUGAUUUUCGGAACCAAUCUGAAUGUUAUUAAGAAGGUCAAGGAUUUCCUAUCUCGUUGUUUUGAGAUGAAGGAUUUAGGAGUGGCUGAUGUCAUUAUGAACAUCAAGUUGUUGAGAGACGAUGAUGGUGGGAUUACAUUGCUUCAAUCUCACUAUGUGGAAAAGAUCUUGAGUCGCUUUGGCUAUCGUGACUGCAAGCCCUCUCCAAAACCAUAUGAUGCUAGUGUGUUGCUUCGAAAGAAUCGAAGAAUUGCUAGAGACCAAUUGAAGUAUUCUCAGAUUAUUGGCUCGCUUAUGUACUUAGCCAGUGCUACAAGACCUGACAUCUCUUUUGCUGUUAGCAAACCGAGUCGGUUUGUUUCAAAACCAGGAGAUGUGCAUUGGAAAGCUCUAGAAAGAGUUUUGCGUUAUUUUAAAGGCACUGCAAAUUAUGGAAUUCACUACACCGGGCAUCCAAAGGUGCUUGAAGGGUAUAGUGACUCAAACUGGAUCUCAGAUGCUGAUGAGAUAAAGGCCACGAGCGGUUAUAUAUUCACUCAUGGAGGUGGCGCUGUUUCUUGGAAGUCUUGCAAGCAGACCAUCUUAACGAGGAAAACAAUGGAAGCAGAACUCACAGCACUAGAUACAGCUACGGUUGAAGCAAAUUGGCUACGCCGGCUCUUGAAUGACUUGCCGGUUGUUGAGAAACCUGUACCGGAUGUCCUUAUGAACUGCGACAAUCAAACUGUGAUCACGAAAGUGAGCAGUUCAAAGAAUAACAUGAAGUCAUCAAGACACGUUCAGAGAAGGUUAAAGUCUGUCAGGAAAAUGAAAAACUCCGGAGUUAUUGCGUUGGAUUAUAUCCAAACGUCUAAAAAUCUGACAGAUCCUUUUACCAAGGGUCUAUCACGUAAUGUGAUAGAUAAUGCAUCGAGGGAGAUGGGUUUGAGACCAACAAUAUGA